CUUAAGGCAUUUCUUACAAUUGUAACAUUUUCUAGGGCAAGCAAGCAGCUCUGAUGAUUCUGGCAAGAAUAAACAUAGUCUGUAAACACCAGAUUGUUUUCACUACGUAAGUAUGGAUUUCAGUGUGUAAAUCCAGACAUGACAGCCAGAAUGUUUCCAGUGACAUCACAGGAGUUGAUGACAAUGUGGUGAAUACAUUAUGAAUAUGUGGAUGCAGUUAAACUACACCAGUUCUGGCUCUACCACUCACCUGAUGUCACUCUGAAUCUUUGAAACACCCCGUUACACCUGAGUCUCUGUCAAGUGAAAAUCCUAAUUCAGAGGCUCAGGUUCCCAUUUCUGCCAUAAGCAAAGCAUAACUUGGGGAAAGCUCUUCUCUACCUCUGCAUCUCCAUCCUCUGCUGGUCUCACAGAGGCAGUGUUUCUUCAUUACAUUCUCUGCAGAUCUCACCUAGUACAGUUUCACCUGUUCCAGGGCAGUGGCUUUCUCCAGUGCUAUACAGAGCCAUUUUUAAAAGGAUUCCAGCACCCAGAACGAAUAGAUGGAGGAGUCCCCUUCACAACCACAUGUGAAUAUUGCAAACAGCUAUUUCUAAUACCACAGCUCACACAUUAUGCUAUUCUAAAUGGGUCUUCAUUCCUGUAACUGUUGUGAGGCGAAUUGUUAAUUUCAAUUAUCAAUAGUGAUGUCACAAGGAAAAUACAAUUGUAUAAGAGGGAUCAGCCCAAAGUCAAAACCUAAGUAUACAAGGACUGAGAUGAAAGAAAUCAAUAUAAAUAAUGAGAGGGCAGUGCAACAAGGCUCUGCAGAGGUGGACUUGCUAACCCUAAACCCUUCCACCUGAAUUAUAACAAGUAAAUCAAAGCACUCCUAUAUCUGGAUCAAGGCUCUCUCCAGCUUUGCUUUAGUGACAAGGGAAUGGGCAUUACCCAGAAGCUGUAGGGUGAUGUUCAGAGGCAGCUAACAAACCACCAGCUCAGCUUUUCUUUUCCACAGGGCAAGCACUCUGAAUGCUCCUCCUCCCCUUAACUUGCUGAAACUUGCAGUCGUGAUUCACAACCUGACCAACACUGAUAGAUAACAAACCACUGACCUUGAAGGCGGCUUUGUAUGUCAGCCUUCUUAUUGCGUUGAGUCACCGCACUCCUCGUGUGUGUUAUUUUAAGUAGCACAUUUAUCAGCCAGUACCAAAUGGAAUAUGUGGCCAUGUGUAUUUUAUUAGUGGGUUGAGAGUAUUAAAAAAAAAAGAAAAAUCAGGAAAAAAAA
rnacentral:lncRNA from 12 species